rnacentral:rRNA from 1 species
UACGUAGGGUGCAAGCGUUGUCCGGAAUUAUUGGGCGUAAAGAGCUCGUAGGCGGUUCGUCGCGUCGGCUGUGAAAUCCCGAGACUCAACCUCGGGUCUGCAGUCGAUACGGGCGGACUGGAGUUCGGCAGGGGAGACUGGAAUUCCUGGUGUAGCGGUGAAAUGCGCAGAUAUCAGGAGGAACACCGGUGGCGAAGGCGGGUCUCUGGGCCGAUACUGACGCUGAGGAGCGAAAGCGUGGGGAGCAAACAGG